GGAAUCUUGGACAAUGGGGGCAACCCUGAUCCAGCGAUGCCGCGUGGGUGAAGAAGGCCUUCGGGUUGUAAAGCCCUUUAGGCUGGGAAGAAGGUUAGUUGGGGAUAAUCCAGUUAACUUGACUGUACCAGCAGACUAAGCACCGGCAAACUCUGUGCCAGCAGCCGCGGUAAUACAGAGGGUGCGAGCGUUAAUCGGAUUUACUGGGCGUAAAGGGCGCGUAGGCGGUGAUAUGAGGUUGGUUUGAAAGCCCCGGGCUUAACCUGGGAAGUGCAUCGCAAACGAUAUUACUGGAGUAGAUGAGAGGGUGGCGGAAUUUCCGGUGUAGCGGUGAAAUGCGUAGAGAUCGGAAGGAACGUCGAUGGCGAAGGCAGCCACCUGGCAUCAUACUGACGCUGAGGCGCGAAAGCGUGGGGAGCGAAC
rnacentral:rRNA from 1 species